UACGAAGGGUGCAAGCGUUACUCGGAAUUACUGGGCGUAAAGGGUGCGUAGGCGGUUUGUUAAGUCUGUCGUGAAAGCCCCGGGCUCAACCUGGGAAUGGCGAUGGAUACUGGCGAGCUAGAGUACGGUAGAGGAGAGUGGAAUUCCCGGUGUAGCAGUGAAAUGCGUAGAGAUCGGGAGGAACAUCAGUUGCGAAGGCGGCUCUCUGGACCAGUACUGACGCUGAGGCACGAAAGCGUGGGGAGCAAACAGG
rnacentral:rRNA from 1 species